rnacentral:rRNA from 1 species
UACAGAGGGUGCAAGCGUUGUUCGGAAUUAUUGGGCGUAAAGCGCACGUAGGCGGCUUCUUAAGUCAGGGGUGAAAUCCUGGAGCUCAACUCCAGAACUGCCUUUGAUACUGAGGAGCUUGAGUCCGGGAGAGGUGAGUGGAACUCCGAGUGUAGAGGUGAAAUUCGUAGAUAUUCGGAAGAACACCCGUGGCGAAGGCGGUUCUCUGGGACGGUACUGACGCUGAGACGCGAAAGCGUGGGGAGCGAACAGG